rnacentral:rRNA from 1 species
GACGAACGCUGGCGGCGUGCUUAACACAUGCAAGUCGAACGGAAAGGCCCUGCUUUUGUGGGGUGCUCGUGUGGCGAACGGGUGUGUAACACGUGAGUAACCUGCCCUUGACUUUGGGAUAAAUUCUCGAAACUGGGGCUAAUACCGGAUAGGAGCUCCUGCUGCAUGGGGGGGGUUGGAAAGUUUCGGUGGUUGGGGAUGGACUCGCGGGUUAUCGGCUUGUUGGUCGGGUAGUUGCUUACCAAGGCUUUGAAGGGUAGCCGGCCUGGGAGGGUUACCGGCCACCAUGGGACUGCGAGACGGCCCAGACGGCUACGGUAGGCAGCAGGGGGGAAUAUUGCACAACGGGCGGAAGCCUGAUGCAGCAACGCCGGGUGCGGGAUGACGGCCUUCUGGUUGUAAACCGCUUUCGCCUGUGACGAAGCGUUAGUGACGGUAAUUGGUAAAGAAGCACCGGCUAACUACGUG